rnacentral:rRNA from 1 species
GGAAACCCAGUGUGACUCGUCACACUAUCAUUAACUGAAUCCAUAGGUUAAUGAGGCGAACCGGGGGAACUGAAACAUCUAAGUACCCCGAGGAAAAGAAAUCAACCGAGAUUCCCCCAGUAGCGGCGAGCGAACGGGGAGGAGCCCAGAGCCUGAAUCAGCAUGUGUGUUAGUGGAAGCGUCUGGAAAGGCGCGCGAUACAGGGUGACAGCCCCGUACACAAAAGCGCAUGUGCUGUGAGCUCGAUGAGUAGGGCGGGACACGUGGUAUCCUGUCUGAAUAUGGGGGGACCAUCCUCCAAGGCUAAAUACUCCUGACUGACCGAUAGUGAACCAGU